AUUGAACGCUGGCGGCGUGCUUAACACAUGCAAGUCGAUCGGUAACAGGUGUAGCAAUACAUGCUGACGAGAGGCGGACGGGUGAGUAAUGCUUGGGAAUCUGCCUAUUAGUGGGGGACGAACCCGGGGAAACGUCGGGCUAAUACCGCAUACGCUCUACGGAGGAAAGCCGGGGACCGCAAGGCCUGGCGCUAAUAGAUGAGCCCAAGUCGGAUUAGCUAGUUGGUAGGGUAACGGCCUACCAAGGCGACAAUCCGUAGCUGGUCUGAGAGGACGACCAGCCACACCGGAACUGAGACACGGUCCGGACUCCUACGGGAGGCAGCAGUGGGGAAUAUUGGACAAUGGGGGCAACCCUGAUCCAGCGACGCCGCGUGGGUGAAGAAGGCCUGCGGGUUGUAAAGCCCUUUCGGGUGGGGAAGGAAAAGUCUCGACCUAAUACGUCGGGACCUUGACGUAACCCACUAAAGAAGCACCGGCUAACUCUGUGCCAGCAGCCGCUGUAAC
rnacentral:rRNA from 1 species